GCCCGGCUGGCUCAGUCGGUAGAGCAGGAGACUCUUGGUCUCAGGGUCGCGGGUUCGAGCCCCGCGCUGGGCG